AUUGAACGCUGGCGGCAGGCCUAACACAUGCAAGUCGAACGAGUGGCGGACGGGUGAGUAAUGUCUGGGACACUGCCUGAUGGAGGGGGAUAACUACUGGAAACGGUAGCUAAUACCGCAUACCAUCGGAUGUGCCCAGAGGGGAUUAGCUAGUUGGUGGGGUAACGGGUCACCAAGGCGACGAUCCCUAGCUGGGCUGAGAGGAUGACCAGCCACACUGGAACUGAGACACGGUCCAGACUCCUACGGGAGGCAGCAGUGGGGAAGAUUGCGCAAGGGGCGCAAGCCGGAUGCAGCUAUGCCGCGUGUAUGAAGAAGGCCUUCGGGUUGUAAAGUACUUUCAGCGGGGAGGCGUUACCUGCAGAAGAAGCACCGGCUAACUCCGUGCCAGCCGCCGCGGUAAUUC
rnacentral:rRNA from 1 species